AGGAAAUAGAUACCCUGGUAGUCCACGCCCUAAACGACUGUCAACUAGUUGUUGGGGGAGGUAAAAUACCCUUAGUAAACGGCAGCUAAACGCGUGAAAGUUGACCGCCUGGGGAGUACGGUCGCAAGAUUAAAACUCAAAGGAAUUGACGGGGGCCCGGCACAAGCGGUGGAUUAUGUGGAUUAAUUCGAUGCAACGCGAAAAACCUUAACCUGGCCUUGACAUGCCACUAACGAAGCAGAGAUGCAUUAGGUGCCCGAAAGGGAAAGUGGACACAGGUGCUGCAUGGCUGUCGUCAGCUCGUGUCGUGAGAUGUUGGGUUAAGUCCCGCAACGAGCGCAACCCUUGCCAAUAAUUGCCAUCAUUCAGUUGGGCACUUUAUUGGGACUGCCGGUGACAAACCGGAGGAAGGUGGGAUGACGUCAAGUCCUCAUGGCCCUUAU
rnacentral:rRNA from 1 species